ensembl:snRNA U6 U6 spliceosomal RNA
GUGCUCACUUUGGCAGCACAUAUACUAAAAUUGGAAUGAUACAGAGAUUAGUAUGGCCCCUGGGCAAGGAUGACAUGCAAAUCCAGGAAGCGUUCCAUAUUUUU